rnacentral:rRNA from 1 species
GAUGAACGCUGGCGGCGUGCCUAAUACAUGCAAGUCGAGCGAACGGACGAGAAGCUUGCUUCUCUGAUGUUAGCGGCGGACGGGUGAGUAACACGUGGAUAACCUACCUAUAAGACUGGGAUAACUUCGGGAAACCGGAGCUAACACCGGAUAAUAUGUUGAACCGCAUGGUUCAAAAGUGAAAGACGGUCUUGCUGUCACUUAUAGAUGGAUCCGCGCUGCAUUAGCUAGUUGGUAAGGUAACGGCUUACCAAGGCAACGAUGCAUAGCCGACCUGAGAGGGUGAUCGGCCACACUGGAACUGAGACACGGUCCAGACUCCUACGGGAGGCAGCAGUGGGGAAUCUUCCGCAAUGGGCGAAAGCCUGACGGAGCCACGCCGCGUGAGUGAUGAAGGUCUUCGGAUCGUAAAACUCUGUUAUUAGGGAAGAACAUAUGUGUAAGUAACUGUGCACAUCUUGACGGUACCUAAUCAGAAAGCCACGGCUAACUACGUG